GAUUAACGCUGGCGGCGUGCAUAACACAUGCAAGUCGAACGAUGAAACGUAGUAGACUUCUUCGGAAAGACACUAAGCGGAUUAGUGGCAAACCGUUGAGUAACUCGUUAGUAACCUGCCUUACACAAGGGGAUCGCCUUUGGAAACGAAGAAUAAUACCCUAUAAAACCAUAAAAGCACAUACUAGAUUGGUCAAAGGGAUAGCGGUGUAAGAUGGACUUGCGUCUGAUUAGGUAGUUUGAGAGAUAAAAGAUCAAAAAGGCAACGAGCAGUAGCCGGCGUGAGAGAGUGUACCGGCACAUUGGGACUGAGACACGGCGCAGACUCCCACGGGAGGCAGCAGUGGGGAAUGUGGCACAAUGGGGGAAAGCCUGAUGUAGCGACGCCGCGAGAUUUAGAAGGCCUUCGGGUUGUAAAAAGCUUUUGUAUAGGAAGAAAUUGACAGUACUAAACGAAUAAGGUCCGGCUAAUUACGUG
rnacentral:rRNA from 1 species